UUGAAAUGAAAGUGCCAUAUGAACCACACUUCUCUAGAAACCGUUAUAUUUAGAGUUAGUUCACACUUUGUGAAAAGAAAACCUCAAACAAACAUGAGAUUCUUCCAAUACAUCGUUGCUGUUGCUGUUGCAGCUCUUAUGCUCAUCUCUAAUGCUGCUGUAAUUGCCGAUGAUACUACUGCAGCAGAUGCAACAACAGUUGCUGCAACAGAAAAAGCUUAAAUGAAAACUCUAUGAGGACCGAAACCCAGCUUUCUGUUACAGCCACUAUGCCAUCGUCGCUUUAGUGGAUUCUUCUGGUGGCGUUGAUUACCAUAAAACAAAGAUCUUUUUACUAGGUUUCGGAACAAACUGCAAUGUACCAAAUUGAUUCCCUUUAUGUUCUAUUUUCUGUACAAUAAAUUGUACUAAUAAUUUGUAAUUUUCUGGACAAUAAAUUUUCUGUACAAUAAA
rnacentral:lncRNA from 1 species